GGCAGUACUGACCAGUUAUUUGUAUGACUGUCUGCCCCCAAACACUAUAUCGCUUGGAACAAAAUCUGAAUUAUAACUUGCAGCACAAUAAAUAGUUCAUAUGUACCCAGUUUGUGAUUACAUAUAAACCAUUCCAAGAGUAUCUACAAUCCCAGUUAUGGGCUGUCAAACUAAAGUGUUCUUUUCAGGCAUCAGCUGUAGCACUUGGCAUCCAAAUCCCGUGAACUUGAAUUGCCAAGCUACAGAUAAAAUUAUGAACGUGAAAUUGAUUCUGUUGCACAAAUAUCUGACUUAUAACAAGAGGGAGAGCCAGCUAAGCAGUUUGUGGUUAUGGAUGAAGCAUUUACUCAUUCUGAGAUCAACAAAAAAGUACUUGAGCUUGCAGAAAUGCAAACAUCAGCUGGCACAAACAGGUGGUUACCUUGUGCCUGCCAAUCAAGUUCUCAGGAACUAUUUUAUUUUUGCAAAAUGGCAAAAAAAAAAAAAAAAAAAAAAAAAGCUCAGCAGAAAUGAUAUAUUUUUAAAAGAAAAUAAAGUACAAUUUAUCAUAAAUUACUUCUCAAUGGGUUGCAUUGAUGCUGUGGAAGGCAAAGCCACAUAACACAAGACCUGUGGAAUUGAAAAUAGACGCCUGUCUUUGUGACACGAAGAGACUGUGAAGUCUUUAAUGGACAGAAGCAAAACAGCUCUUUUUUUACCCUGUUUGUAACUGUGACCCGCCAUUAUCUCUGGUCACACCGAGCACACAUUUCAAUUAAGCACUGCAUCACUGCACAUCACAUUAAUUAUAAGAGACUAUAAUAAGUCAGGGGUUUUUCUACCAUCAUGCUAUAAAUAACAUAAAAAGUCUGAGGAUGCUACGGGCAGAGCCAAACUCAGGCACCAAGCUGAACCACAAGGUGGAGCCAAAAAUAAGUGCGUGUGUUUUUUUUAGCCAUCUCCUUCUGUGUAUCUCAUUUCAUCUUCACGUUCAUCCGUCCCUUCUUUAUUCCCGUGUAAUUAAAAAUAAAACAAUAACAAAAAAACGAACGAGUACAAGUAUAUCACUCCAAGUCUGUAAAGAGCAUAAAUCAGCAUCUAACUGGAGUAGAGCAGCCAGCCUAUUGAUCACACCCUUGGUGAAUUUAACACUUGGUCUGAAUCAGCCCACUUAAAGUGAAUACUUUCUCCUGUCAUUCGUCACGACUGAAACGUCUGCGACUUCUGCCUCGUAUCCAG
ensembl:lncRNA